AGCGAACGCUGGCGGCAGGCCUAACACAUGCAAGUCGAACGAUCCUUCGGGAUAGUGGCGGACGGGUGAGUAACACGUGGGAACGUGCCCUUUGGUUCGGAACAACUCAGGGAAACUUGAGCUAAUACCGAAUGUGCCCUUCGGGGGAAAGAUUUAUCGCCAUUGGAGCGGCCCGCGUCUGAUUAGCUAGUUGGUGAGGUAACGGCUCACCAAGGCGACGAUCAGUAGCUGGUCUGAGAGGAUGAUCAGCCACACUGGGACUGAGACACGGCCCAGACUCCUACGGGAGGCAGCAGUGGGGAAUCUGGCGCAAUGGGCGAAAGCCUGACGCAGCCAUGCCGCGUGAAUGAUGAAGGUCUUAGGAUUGUAAAAUUCUUUCACCGGGGACGAUAAUGACGGUACCCGGAGAAGAAGCUCCGGCUAACUUCGUGCCAGCCGCCGCAGUAACAC
rnacentral:rRNA from 1 species